GGCAGUUUCUAAGCAGUUUAUCGUCAAAUAAAGUCAUACUGAAAAAAAGGAUGUGGUGCAUUUCCUAUCACUUUUUUUACAUUAAGGUUGACUUGUUUUAGAGCUUACGUGCAUUAACUGAAAUCCCUAUUGAAGACCGUAGGCGUUCAUCCUUUCCCUCUGCUCUGGCCCUGCUAAGAUGGACUUCCAAGGCGUUUGAUCAGAAAGCCAGAGUCAUAAUGGGCCAUUUUACCACUCGCUGCCAGUGUGGUGUGGGGAAUGAGAAGUGGCACGGAACAUGGACUUCUAUGUGUGUCAAUCAAAGCCCACCGUGUGUCACCCAUGGAGAGAGAGGAGCGUUGGGAUGGAACGUUCUGCUCCGUGGGUCACCAAUCAGACGGCUGAUACUGGCUUAGGCCAUUCCACUGGGAGUGGGGUGGAUUCCAGUCAAGUUGAAGAAACAUCUCAAGAAUGAUCAAUGGAAACAGGAUACACCUGAGCUCGAUUUCGAGUCUCAUAGCAAAAGGUCUGAAUACUUAUGUAAAUAAGGUAUUUGUUUUUAAUUUUAGUUCCUAUUAUGCGGUAUUGUGUGGAGAUUAAUGUAGAAAAACAAUUAUUCAAUCAACUUUAGAAUAAGGCUGUAAAGUAACAAAAUGUGGAAAAAGUCAAGGGGGUAUGAGUACUUUCCAAAUGCACUGUUUAUGUAAAGAUUUAACUAUAUUUACAUAUAAAGUCAUCCCCUUAAGAAUGUCAUAGCAUAUUUCUUGUUUGAAUUUGUAGUGCAUCUUAGUACUGAAUGUGUCUUUUCUUUGAUGGGAUCUAGAUUUGACCCCAACUGCAGAUUGCCCCGUCUGGAUAGUUCAGUAAAAUGCCCUCCUCAACCCCGUAUACCAGAGAUACUCAACUACAAUUUGAGAAGGUCCAGUCACACAUAUUUCCUAGAUCGCAGAGGUCCGGAUGAUUUCAUUUAAUUUACCUGCGUAGCAACAAACCCCCAACUCGCGUCCCAUGCGACCCCAAACUGUUCCCAACCCACUUGUUGGCGGAGAGAAAAUACUGCCAUUUUAAAGCAUAAUCGUUGCAAUUCUAACAAUUUUGUCUAAUUUACCCAUUUAGCUAAUAUGGCCAGUAGUUGAUCAACUGGACAUUUCUAAAAAAUAGCUCUCUAAGGUCUGUCAGUGAAUGACAUAUCAUGUGGAAAACUGCCGAUGCACUACCAAAUUUAGAAAUUGAACCUUGUGCAUUUUACUAUUACGUCUCUCAAAAGCGGUAAGUUAAAAGUCUGUACUGACCUUGUUCUGGGGCCAGAUCCGGACCGCGGUCCGCCAGUUGAGUAUGGCUGCCGUAUACUCUAUCUGGCCCUGCCAGCAUUCCUCGCUUUCACAUUCACAGCUAUAUUUAUAAGGGUCAGCGCUUUAUAUACUGUAAACUGUGUGUAGCAUGUGUGUCCUUGAUGUCACAGCCCCAUACACACACGCACUCACCAUAUACUCUCUAUUACACCAGGCUGCACACCUGUCCUUCUCUGUAAUACGAAGUAAUCACAUUGCGACUUCCCUGUACUGUAGCUUUGGCACCAGCCGCAAACUAUUAAUACCAGCCUGUGCUAAUAUUACGCUAGCAAUAGCAGUGUGAUAGUACCCUGAUCCCUCAAACAAUGCUGUGUGUAGCAAGACACUGAGCCAUGGAACUCUAUCGUUCAGCCUCUCUGGCCCUAUGGGGCUUAUAGCUCCAUCUCACUGCAUCUCUACUGACCCCCCGAGUGUUUUCACUGCUUCCCUGUUAGGACCUUCUCCCCGAUUGCUUAGUUUGGAUGGGCGACCAGCCUGCUCAAGGAGUCUUGUUGGUUCCAAACUUCCAUUUAAGAAUGAUGGGAGGCCACUGUGUUCUUGGGGACUUUUAAUGCUGCAAAUUUUUUUGGGUACCCGUGCCCAGAUCUGUGCCUCGACACAAUCCUGUCUCAAAGCUCUACAGACAAUUCCUUUGACCUCAUGGCUUGGUUUUUGCUCUGACAUGCACUCUCAACUGUGGGUCCUUAUAUAUACAUGUGUGUGUCUUUCCAAAUCAUGUCUUGUCAAUUGAAUUUACCACAGGUGGACUCCAGUCAAGUUGUAGAAACAUCUCAAGGAUGCUCAACAGAAGCAGAAAGCACCUGAGCUCAAUUUUGAGUCUCAUAGCCAAGGUUGUGAACACUUAUGUAAAUAAGGUAUUUCUGUUUUUUAUUUUAUUUGUAUAAAUUAACAAUAAAAAAAAAACGUUUU